GGAGAGGUAGCAUAGCCUGGCCUAAUGCGCUCGCCUGGAAAGCGGGUACGGUCUAAACCGCCGUCAUGGGUUCGAAUCCCAUCCUCUCCG
rnacentral:tRNA from 1 species